AUGUUGUUAUCCUCUGCUAAAGUCAAUUGGACAAAAUGUGAGACACUGUUGGUUGGUCAGUGGGUUGAUGGCAAACCAAAUCUUCCUGAUGGGUUAGUUUGGGGUAAAAGAGGGAUUAAAUAUUUAGGUGUGUUUUUGGGUGAUGAUGUAACUCAACAGAAAAAUUGGGAAGGGGUGUGUGAAAAAAUUAAGGGGCGUCUGGAAAAAUGGAAAUGGUUAAUUCCAAAUAUGUCUUAUAGAGGACGUGUUCUUGUUGUAAACAAUCUGGCUGCCUCCUCUCUGUGGCACAGGUUGGCUUGUGUGGAUCCUCCAAAGCAACUUCUAGCGAAAAUUCAAGCUGUGCUUGUGGACUUUUUCUGGGACAAAUUACACUGGGUACAACAGAGUAUUUUAUACCUGCCCAAGGAAGGAGGAGGACAAGGACUCAUGAAUUUACAAAGCAGAACUGCUGCUUUUCGGUUGCAGUUUCUACAGAGAUUUUUUGAUGGUGCGUCUGAUGUGAGUUGGAGGGCUGCUGCCUCUGCCAUAUUGCAAAACUUUGGGGGGUUUGGGUUGGAUAAACAUCUCUUUUUGAUGAACCCUUUAAAAAUGGACUUUUCAAAGAUGCCAUACUUUUAUAAAAACCUGUUUAAAGUGUGGAGUUUGUUUCAGAUUCAAAAGACUGAAAGCUCAUACUCUCUUCAUUGGCUGUUAGAGGAACCUUUGAUAUUUGGAGCACGACUGGAUAUAACGAACAAUUGUAAUUUAAAUGGGCUCAGUUCUGCUCUCCAAAAAUCCAGGGCUGUCACUUUAGGACAGAUGUUGAUUUUGGCUGGCCCAAAUUUGGAGAACGCAGAGAUGGCAUCUCAACAUUUGGGUAUUAGAUCUGUUCGUCUUGUUUCCUUGUUUUUGUUUAAACUGAGAUCAGCUCUCACAGAUGAAGAGAACCAAAUGUUAAAAGAUUACAACUCUGGGACAUACACUCCCAAUGCUCAGGACCUUUUUCCCUGUCUAGAGAUUUUACCUAAUCUUGAUGGAUGUACAGGUUUGGUUUUAAAGAAUUGGCAAUCUUUGUGGUUGGAUUUAUUGUCGACUAAAGGUAAUUUGUUGUACAGAGCUUGUGUUAUGGCUUUUAAUAAGACAUAUUUUGAAAGAAAAGUUGAUACACCAUGGCGCUCUUUUUUUGGGCUAGAUGAAAAUGUAAAACCUGAGUGGAGAUCUCUGUAUAAGCCGCCAUUAUCAAAGAGGGCAGGGGAUUUACAGUGGAGAAUCCUUCAUGGUAUCAUUGCUGUAAACUCUUUUAUUUCUGUUUUAAAUCCAGAAGUUAGUUCGGAAUGUCCCUUUUGUUUUCAAAGGGAAACAGUUUUUCAUGCUUUUAUGUCAAUUGUUCUAGAUUACAACUGUUAUUUACUUUUAUUAAAAGAAAUGUUUAACUAG
rnacentral:lncRNA from 1 species